CACUCUGGGCCUUUCUGGGUAUCUUCCCUUUGGCUUGCCAGACCUUCCAGAAGCACAACUUUUGUUACAGACUAGCUUCCUUCUAUGAAGCAGCAAUUCCUGAAAUGGAGUCUGCAAUUAAGAAGAGAAAGCUUGAAGAUAGCAAGCUUCUAGGUGAUCUGUGGCAGAGGCUCUCCCAUUCCAGGAAGAAGCUAAUGGAGAUUUUCCACAUCGUCCUGAACCAGAUAUGCCUCCUUCCCAUCCUAGAAGGCAGCUGUGACAACACUCAGGGCUUCAGUGAAGAGUUCCUUCAGAUCUUCAGCUCCUUGCUGCAGAAGAAGAGGUUCCUCCGGGACUAUGAUGCACUCUUCCCUAUGGCCGAAGACAUCAGCUUGCUGCAGCAGGCCUCGUCAGUCUUGGACGAGACAUGGACUGCCUACAUCCUCCAGGCAGUCGAGAGUGCAUGGGAAGGGGUGGACAGAUGGAAAGCUACAGAUGCUAAAGACCCAUCGGUGACUGAGGAGCCUAAUGGGGAACGUAAUGGGGUCACAGUGAUGGCAGACGCAGUCAGUCAAGCGUCAUCACAUCCAGAGAACUCGGAGGAAGAGGAGUGCAUGGGAGCAGCUGUGGCUGUGGGCCUUAUCAUGUGUGGGGUGGAGCUGGACUCACUCAUCUCCCAAGUGAAGGACCUGCUGCCAGACCUUGGUGAGGGCUUCAUCCUGGCCUGCCUGGAGUACUACCACUAUGACACAGAGCAGGUGAUCAACAAUAUCCUGGAGGAGCAGCUGGCCCCCACCCUCACCCAGCUGGACCACAACCUAGGCAGAGAAAUGCAACCAGACCAGACACCCCUGCUGACAUCUCACCACAACGUCUUCCAGAAUGAUGAGUUUGACGUGUUUAGCAGGGACUCAGUAGAACUGAGUCGGGUGCACAAGGGCAAGAGCACCGGGAAGGAGGAGAACACACGGAGUUUCCUGAAUGACAAGCACACAGUGGCGCACAGUGGCAGCGCCAUGAGCAGUACAGCGUGGUGGUGGAGGAGGUGCUACUGCAGCCAGGCGAGAGCCUGCCCUACCACAAUGUUUACUAUGAGGACGAGGAUGAUGACACAUACGAUGGCAACCAGGUGGACGCCAAUGAUGUGGAUGCAGAUGACAAGCUCAUCAGCCGCAGGGCAUUCACCAUCCCUCAGGGGCUGAGAACCAAAGUGCCUAGAGAAGGGCAGGAGGAGGAGGAGGGGGACGAUGAGGAAGAGGAGGCUCCCAAGCCUGACCAUUUCGUGCAGGACCCUGCAAGGCUGAGAGAGAAGGCAGAAGCCAGGUGCAUGGCCUUUCUCGCCAAGAAAGGGUACCGGAAUGACAGCUCAACAGCAGUGGCCGGCAGCCCCAGGGGCCAUGGGCAGAGCCAUGAGACAACCUAGGAAUGCAGGAAGAAGGAAGCCAACAAGGCGACAAGAGCCAACCACAGCCGGAGAACCACGGCCAACCGCAAGAAGAGCAAAGGCAUGAUCCAUCCUGAGGGCUGGUGUAGGGCCAGCGGGGAGGCAGCGGCGCCAGACUCUCCAGGCCGCGCUCCCAUCACCUGGGGCCUCCUUACCAGGUGCCCCCCUGCCAGAGCCCCAAGAUCAACUCGACCCCUCAACAGCCUCAGCUUUGCAUCCCCUGAGAAGGCCACCUCUCAUCUACCAGCCAGCCAUGAGCGUCUUCCUGCAGAACACACAGUGCCUUAUCCCACAGAGGAAGAAUCCAUAGGGCUGGCAAACAGGCGCCUUCCCCCAGUGCGCUGGCAGGAAAGGGAUGGGGAUGGA